GGAGGAGUGGCAGAGUGGUCGAAUGCACCGGUCUUGAAAACCGACGAGGGUUAACGCCCUCCCAGGGUUCGAAUCCCUGUUCCUCCGCCA
rnacentral:tRNA from 2 species